GUGGUUUUUGUUUUGCCCUGAGAAUCUGCUCGCUGCCAGUUCGCGACACUUCCCAGUGGGUAUUAUACGUAUACUUUUUCGAAACCGAGAGGAGCCAGCAGAACUGACGAACAGGAUCAAAAUAUCCUGGGAAAAUUAGUAUCAGGGCGUAUUUGCUUACAAGCUUUUAAACAUUCUCUAUUAGAAUCUAGUAUUCAAAUACACUUUGAAUUAUAGCAUUCCGAAUAUUUGUCUUCAUAAUAAUCAUGCCAUCGUUUAAUAAUGAUUAAUAGAUUAUAUAAUGAAUAUGUAUAAGAAUAAAAUUUAAAGUGUGAUAGAUGUUUCUCAUUGUCCAUAGUCAACAAAUAUAAUGUAUAUCCUUAUUUUAUAUUUACUUUUUUGCAUUAUUUAAAUAAUGAGCAUUUGAUCACCUGCCUGCAUGCCUGCAAAUGUUUUUCUGUCGAUUAGCUUUGGUCAAAACGAAUCCCUAUACAACGUUAUGAACUAUUCUAAUUGGAAUUCUCUCACGCCAUACGAUCGCAUGAGGGUCGCGUUGCUAUCGUUAUUUCCUACCACCACAUGACCUCAAGGAUCGCGUCGCACGCUUGCAAGGGCAUCUCCUUCCCUCUCUCGCUCCCCGUUUCACUAUAUCUCUGCUGCUGCGCGUGUCACCCUCGCCCCUAAGCUAAACCUCACCCUUGGAGGAUUGGCGCGCGUUUGGUUGCGCGUUCGACCUUUUGGCCAAAUGCUGGUAUCGGACAGGCGGGCACUUACGAGUCAAUAAAUUGUGGGUCAUUGGUAUAAGUUUUAAGAUUUCACGACAGGAAUUCGACCGGGGAGGAAAAGCGGGAGUAAAUUGUGUAAGUUGGAAGAGAUAUUAGUUUUAGUGUCAGUAAGAAAGUUCACCAAUCGUUGGCCCUUAAAUAGUUCUGACUCUCUCUUUAGAGCUAUAUAUAUACACGAAUUCCAUAUGCACUUAUUGAGGGCCUCUAAUUCGAAUGGAAGAAUGUAGCGUGACAUAUGAUCUGAUGGUUCUAUGGAGGGAAGAGUUCGCUGAAAGUGAAGAAAAAAUAAAAGCCCUGUUCCUUUGGUAAAUGAGUAGGAAAAGUGACCUCCUAACAACAUUUAAUUAGUAAAUCUUUUUUGAUUUUAUCUAUUGCCAGGUGUCAAUUACUAUACCCCAUUUUAAUCUCCUUGGAGCUCUAUUGAUCAACUGUCUAAACUAUUCUCACUAUUUAUUAUAGGCUCUAAUCAAUCCGCACCACCCAAUCCCGAUGCCGAUAAACUUAGCUGCUGCCCGCAUUGACCUUGCAAAAGAAACAAAAACUUUAACCUGAAGUUCCCAGGAUCAACUCGCAUCACGCUUAAGGCUAAACGUAAAAAUUCCCAUUUUAAUUCGGCAGAAAACUCAUGAAAGAAUCUCACAGCAACAAUUUGAUACUUUUGGUCGCGCUAUGGGGCAACAUUUUUGUCUGGAUUUGUCUUUGCAGGUUUCAAAAUGCGGGCAGCGGAAAUAGAAUCGAGAAUGGGAAACAAACACGCGAUCGGCGUUGAGCAAAAGAAAGAAGCCACCCCACAGUAGGAGAGAUGAUGCGACUCAGCCUUAGUCCGUAAAUGCUUGCGUGUGAAUAAUCAGACAACAUUUUGCAUUGCGAUUGCGCCAAUUAUGUGGGCACUAUUAUGGUGCGGGAAUAUCCUCGGGUGGGGUGUGCGACAGAGAGUUUUCCUGCCGGCUCAAGGCCUUGAGGGUUAAGAAGAGUCAACGAGGAUAGCAUCUGAUCGAUACGAAAAAGUCAAUGAGUCAAGGGAGCAAAGGAUCCAGACAGAGUUAAUGAGUAGCCAAGAUCUCGGCAAUAGAGAUUAUAUCAAUACCUUGAAUGUCUUGAUUUGAUCUUAAUUAUCUAAAUAGACAUAGCAAGAUGGAAAAAAUACUAAUGAGAGGUCAUGGAAUGAGGGUUAAUGUUUAUGUUUAAGAAAUAUGAAUAUUUGGCAAUUGUUUUUUUUUUUUUUUUUUCUUUACUACGUUCUUUUUGUAAUAAUAGUAAUCAUUUUAGUGAUCUGCUCUAAAAUCAAAUACAGAUUUGCAUUCUGGGUUUCUUCAUCAACUUGUGAAACUUGGUACAGUUUGUCACACAAACCAAAUUGCGCUGCCUAAACUUUUGUUGUUGAAUGCGAGUGCCACUGCGACAAUUUUUCAUAUUUUUUCCAUAACCAUUAAGAUACACACAGACACACAGGCGCAUAAACAUACACAAACACGAGCCGCACUUGCACAUAUUUGUUUUGAACCCAGUGACAGUCUCUACUCCGCAUCAGCAUCAGCAUCAGCUCGGCAUCAUCAUCGUUCAGCAUUCAGCAUUCUCAUCCUCCAGUUGAAUAUUAUCACAUUGUAUUACGAUAUACUUAUGCAUAUAUGUAUGUGUUUUUUUUUUUUUUUUUUUUUUUUUUUUGUUUAUUUUGCUCUUUGCUUUUUGCCAUGCCUCUCAGCAUACAUAUCUACGUUCACAGACACACACAAGCAUGCAUAUAUAUGUAUAUGUGUGUAUAUAUGUAUAUUAUAUACGAUCGUAUACCUCGCACUCGUAUGUAAUUGUGAUCUGCGCCAACGAAAUUCCAAUAUGGCGUGCACAAACACACACACACACAAACACACACAUGUACAUAUACAUAUAUAUGUACGUAGUGUCAGAGUCCAGAGUUGGGCAUAGCAGUUCACCAAUACAGUUGCAUCCAAUUAAGCUUCGUUAAGAUCAAUUUAAAAUCCCGCAUAAAAUAUCAAAUAGUUUUUGUACUUUAGUUCCAUUUCUGCUGUCGCUAUUUGUUGUCGGCUGUCGGGCAGACGCUCUCCAAGCCACAGCCAGCCAGCCAGCCAGCAACAACAGCUACGUUUCGAAAUCCGCAGCCCACGUUGCCCAUUGUCCACUUGUUGCCUGUCCACUUGUUACCCCCUUUAGCAUAGCACUUUACAUGAUGAGACUCUGCGCAGGCUCCAUAACAACGGAUGUGCGGACGUCUUUGACAUCUGACCCGUACGAUCACGAGCUAUAAGAGUAUUUACAGCCCUCAGACACGGCAACUGCCUAGCUGACUCGCGGUCAUAAAUGUAUUUCUAAAAAUAUUCCAAUACUUGAGUCGUGCUUUGCACGUUAGCUAAAUCGCAGCUUAUAUAAAUAUUGGUCUAAUACUAAUCUAAUAAACACUGAAUUAUGUAAACAGUUCUGUAAACUAAGAAAAUAUAAAUAUGAUAAAUAAAUUUUCUAUUU